UACGUAGGGGGCAAGCGUUGUCCGGAUUUAUUGGGCGUAAAGAGCUCGUAGGCGGUUCGGUAAGUCGGCUGUGAAAUCUCCACGCUCAACGUGGAGGGGUCAGUCGAAACUGCCGUGACUCGAGUCCGGUAGAGGAGUGUGGAAUUCCCGGUGUAGCGGUGAAAUGCGCAGAGAUCGGGAGGAACACCCGUAGCGAAGGCGGCACUCUGGGCCGGUACUGACGCUGAGGAGCGAAAGCGUGGGGAGCAAACAGG
rnacentral:rRNA from 2 species